ACACUUAUAAUCGUCAUAAUUAUGCUCUUCUUCCUCCUUAGAACAAAACCUAAUUUUUCUCAGCCACACCUAAUUUCGAUCUCUUCCUCCUUAGUUUCUUCUUCCUCUACAAAAUCUGUCGCCUCCUCUUCCUCAGUCUCUUCCUCUACCUCAUGUUCCCAGACCCUAAACCCAUCUCACCCAAACCCAAACGUAAUGUUACCUCCUGAUACCGUAAUGUUGGAGUAGAAUCCUCCGAUUGAACCCAUCUCUCCUCACCCGUCAGCGUCUUGGAGAGUAAUUGGUGGGAAAUUAGAAACGAGAAGGAGGGAACUGUGAUCUACGGCCGCCGAAAUCAAGAUCUACGACGUUUCGAGGUUAUGAAACCGCCGCAUCCGUACAGUACGCCCGUCACCUCCAGAUUAGAUUUCGACUAAAACCAGAGUACGAGAGGACAAGGUCGAGAAAUUCACAGUAUAGAGGAGUCACCUUCUAUAGAAGAACUGGUCGAUGGUUUCAAUACUGCUCAUGUUGCAGUAGGUGGUUUUGAUACUGCUCAUGUUGGUGCUAGAGCUAAUGAUCGAGCUGCUAUUAAAUUUAAAGGUGUUGAUGCUGAUAUCAACUUUACUCUGGGUGAUUAUGAGGAAGAUAUGAAACAUGUUUUGUAGAUAUAGUUUCCUUGUUUCUGAAUAUUACAAAGAUUUGUUUUGGAACUUUUGGUUCUCUCUUACCAGAGAUGUAUAGAUGAUGUAAUCUAGUCUUAUACUAUAUGUAUUAGUCUUACUCUUCUGUUUUUGAUUUAUAUUGUCUUGUAGUGUUCAAUUCA